rnacentral:rRNA from 1 species
ACAAGCGGAGGAGCAUGUGGUUUAAUUCGAUGAUACGCGAGGAACCUUACCUGGGCUCGAACGUAAGAUGACUGUAGGUGAAAGCUUACAUCUCUUCGGAGCAUUUUACGAGGUGCUGCAUGGUUGUCGUCAGCUCGUGCCGUGAGGUGUCGGGUUAAGUCCCAUAACGAGCGCAACCCUACCUUUAGUUGCCAUCAGGUAAUGCUGGGGACUCUAAAGGAACUGCCUACGCAAGUAGUGAGGAAGCGGGGAUGACGUCAAAUCAGCACGGCCCUUACGUCUAGGGCUACACACGUGCUACAAUGGCCGAUACAGAGGGCAGCUACCUGGUGACAGGAUGCAAAUCUCCAAAGUCGGUCUCAGUUCGGAUCGGAGUCUGCAACCCGACUCCGUGAAGUUGGAUUCGCUAGUAAUCGCGCAUCAGCCAUGGCGCGGUGAAUACGUUCCCGGGCCUU